rnacentral:rRNA from 1 species
UACAGAGGUCCCGAGCGUUGUUCGGAUUCACUGGGCGUAAAGGGUGCGUAGGUGGCGUGGUAAGUUUGAUGUGAAAGCUCAGAGCUCAACUCUGAAAUGGCAUUGAAUACUACUGUGCUGGAGGUUUGGAGGGGGGACUGGAAUUCUCGGUGUAGCAGUGAAAUGCGUAGAUAUCGAGAGGAACACCAGUGGCGAAGGCGAGUCCCUGGACAACACCUGACACUGAGGCACGAAAGCCGGGGGAGCAAACAGG